UGAUGGAAGACAGGCAUCUGUCAGUGU
rnacentral:piRNA from 1 species